rnacentral:rRNA from 1 species
UACGUAGGGUCCGAGCGUUGUCCGGAAUUACUGGGCGUAAAGAGCUCGUAGGUGGUUUGUCGCGUUGUUCGUGAAAUCUCACGGCUUAACUGUGAGCGUGCGGGCGAUACGGGCAGACUUGAGUACUGCAGGGGAGACUGGAAUUCCUGGUGUAGCGGUGGAAUGCGCAGAUAUCAGGAGGAACACCGGUGGCGAAGGCGGCUCACUGGCCCGAUACUGACGCUGAGGCACGAAAGCGUGGGGAGCAAACAGG